UUAAGCGACUAAGCGUACACGGUGGAUGCCCUGGCAGUCAGAGGCGAUGAAGGACGUGCUAAUCUGCGAUAAGCGUCGGUAAGGUGAUAUGAACCGUUAUAACCGGCGAUUUCCGAAUGGGGAAACCCAGUGUGAUUCGUCACACUAUCAUUAACUGAAUCCAUAGGUUAAUGAGGCGAACCGGGGGAACUGAAACAUCUAAGUACCCCGAGGAAAAGAAAUCAACCGAGAUUCCCCCAGUAGCGGCGAGCGAACGGGGAGGAGCCCAGAGCCUGAAUCAGUGUGUGUGUUAGUGGAAGCGUCUGGAAAGGCGCGCGAUACAGGGUGACAGCCCCGUACACAAAAAUGCACAUGCUGUGAGCUCGAUGAGUAGGGCGGGACACGUGGUAUCCUGUCUGAAUAUGGGGGGACCAUCCUCCAAGGCUAAAUACUCCUGACUGACCGAUAGUGAACCAGUACCGUGAGGGAAAGGCGAAAAGAACCCCGGCGAGGGGAGUGAAAAAGAACCUGAAACCGUGUACGUACAAGCAGUGGGAGCCUCUUUUAUGGGGUGACUGCGUACCUUUUGUAUAAUGGGUCAGCGACUUAUAUUCUGUAGCAAGGUUAACCGAAUAGGGGAGCCGAAGGGAAACCGAGUCUUAACUGGGCGUUAAGUUGCAGGGUAUAGACCCGAAACCCGGUGAUCUAGCCAUGGGCAGGUUGAAGGUUGGGUAACACUAACUGGAGGACCGAACCGACUAAUGUUGAAAAAUUAGCGGAUGACUUGUGGCUGGGGGUGAAAGGCCAAUCAAACCGGGAGAUAGCUGGUUCUCCCCGAAAGCUAUUUAGGUAGCGCCUCGUGAAUUCAUCUCCGGGGGUAGAGCACUGUUUCGGCAAGGGGGUCAUCCCGACUUACCAACCCGAUGCAAACUGCGAAUACCGGAGAAUGUUAUCACGGGAGACACACGGCGGGUGCUAACGUCCGUCGUGAAGAGGGAAACAACCCAGACCGCCAGCUAAGGUCCCAAAGUCAUGGUUAAGUGGGAAACGAUGUGGGAAGGCCCAGACAGCCAGGAUGUUGGCUUAGAAGCAGCCAUCAUUUAAAGAAAGCGUAAUAGCUCACUGGUCGAGUCGGCCUGCGCGGAAGAUGUAACGGGGCUAAACCAUGCACCGAAGCUGCGGCAGCGACACUAUGUGUUGUUGGGUAGGGGAGCGUUCUGUAAGCCUGCGAAGGUGUACUGUGAGGUAUGCUGGAGGUAUCAGAAGUGCGAAUGCUGACAUAAGUAACGAUAAAGCGGGUGAAAAGCCCGCUCGCCGGAAGACCAAGGGUUCCUGUCCAACGUUAAUCGGGGCAGGGUGAGUCGACCCCUAAGGCGAGGCCGAAAGGCGUAGUCGAUGGGAAACAGGUUAAUAUUCCUGUACUUGGUGUUACUGCGAAGGGGGGACGGAGAAGGCUAUGUUGGCCGGGCGACGGUUGUCCCGGUUUAAGCGUGUAGGCUGGUUUUCCAGGCAAAUCCGGAAAAUCAAGGCUGAGGCGUGAUGACGAGGCACUACGGUGCUGAAGCGACAAAUGCCCUGCUUCCAGGAAAAGCCUCUAAGCAUCAGGUAACAUUAAAUCGUACCCCAAACCGACACAGGUGGUCAGGUAGAGAAUACCAAGGCGCUUGAGAGAACUCGGGUGAAGGAACUAGGCAAAAUGGUGCCGUAACUUCGGGAGAAGGCACGCUGAUAUGUAGGUGAAGCGACUUGCUCGUGGAGCUGAAAUCAGUCGAAGAUACCAGCUGGCUGCAACUGUUUAUUAAAAACACAGCACUGUGCAAACACGAAAGUGGACGUAUACGGUGUGACGCCUGCCCGGUGCCGGAAGGUUAAUUGAUGGGGUUAGCGGCAACGCGAAGCUCUUGAUCGAAGCCCCGGUAAACGGCGGCCGUAACUAUAACGGUCCUAAGGUAGCGAAAUUCCUUGUCGGGUAAGUUCCGACCUGCACGAAUGGCGUAAUGAUGGCCAGGCUGUCUCCACCCGAGACUCAGUGAAAUUGAACUCGCUGUGAAGAUGCAGUGUACCCGCGGCAAGACGGAAAGACCCCGUGAACCUUUACUAUAGCUUGACACUGAACAUUGAGCCUUGAUGUGUAGGAUAGGUGGGAGGCUUUGAAGUGUGGACGCCAGUCUGCAUGGAGCCGACCUUGAAAUACCACCCUUUAAUGUUUGAUGUUCUAACGUGGGCCCGUAAUCCGGGUUGCGGACAGUGUCUGGUGGGUAGUUUGACUGGGGCGGUCUCCUCCUAAAGAGUAACGGAGGAGCACGAAGGUUGGCUAAUCCUGGUCGGACAUCAGGAGGUUAGUGCAAUGGCAUAAGCCAGCUUGACUGCGAGCGUGACGGCGCGAGCAGGUGCGAAAGCAGGUCAUAGUGAUCCGGUGGUUCUGAAUGGAAGGGCCAUCGCUCAACGGAUAAAAGGUACUCCGGGGAUAACAGGCUGAUACCGCCCAAGAGUUCAUAUCGACGGCGGUGUUUGGCACCUCGAUGUCGGCUCAUCACAUCCUGGGGCUGAAGUAGGUCCCAAGGGUAUGGCUGUUCGCCAUUUAAAGUGGUACGCGAGCUGGGUUUAGAACGUCGUGAGACAGUUCGGUCCCUAUCUGCCGUGGGCGCUGGAGAACUGAGGGGGGCUGCUCCUAGUACGAGAGGACCGGAGUGGACGCAUCACUGGUGUUCGGGUUGUCAUGCCAAUGGCACUGCCCGGUAGCUAAAUGCGGAAGAGAUAAGUGCUGAAAGCAUCUAAGCACGAAACUUGCCCCGAGAUGAGUUCUCCCUGACCCUUUAAGGGUCCUGAAGGAACGUUGAAGACGACGACGUUGAUAGGCCGGGUGUGUAAGCGCAGCGAUGCGUUGAGCUAACCGGUACUAAUGAACCGUGAGGCUUAACCUU
rnacentral:rRNA from 1 species